rnacentral:rRNA from 1 species
UACAGAGGGGGCAAGCGUUGUUCGGAAUUACUGGGCGUAAAGGGCGCGUAGGCGGCCUGCUAAGUCGAACGUGAAAUCCCUGGGCUCAACCCAGGAACUGCGUCCGAUACUGGUUGGCUUGAAUCCGGGAGAGGGAUGUGGAAUUCCAGGUGUAGCGGUGAAAUGCGUAGAUAUCUGGAGGAACACCGGUGGCGAAGGCGGCUCACUGGCCCGGUACUGACGCUGAGGUGCGAAAGCGUGGGGAGCAAACAGG